rnacentral:rRNA from 1 species
UUGCUCUUCAACGAGGAAUCCCUAGUAAGCGCAAGUCAUCAGCUUGCGUUGAUUACGUCCCUGCCCUUUGUACACACCGCCCGUCGCUACUACCGAUUGAAUGGCUUAGUGAGGCGUUCGGACUGGUCCAGGGAGGUGGGCAACUACCACCCAGGACCGGAAAGUUCUCCAAACUUGGUCAUUUAGAGGAAGUAAAAGUCGUAACAAGGUCUCCGUUGGUGAACCAGCGGAGGGAUCAUUACCGAGUUUACAACUCCCAAACCCUUAUGUGAACCGUACCUAUCGUUGCUUCGGCGGGAACGCCCCGGCGCCCUGCGCCCGGAUCCAGGCGCCCGCCGGAGACCCCAAACUCUUGUGUUUUUUUCAGUAUUCUCUGAGUGGCAAACGCAAAAAUAAAUCAAAACUUUUAACAACGGAUCUCUUGGCUCUGGCAUCGAUGAAGAACGCAGCGAAAUGCGAUAAGUAAUGUGAAUUGCAGAAUUCAGUGAAUCAUCGAAUCUUUGAACGCACAUUGCGCCCGUUAGCAUUCUAGCGGGCAUGCCUGUCCGAGCGUCAUUUCAACCCUCAGGGUCCCCGUUCCGGCGGGGAACCUGGUGUUGGGGAUCGGCCCGCCCCGCGCGGCGCCGUCCCCCAAAUUCAGUGGCGGUCUCGCUGCAGCCUCCCCUGCGUAGUAGUUACAACCUCGCAUCGGAGCUCAGCGCGGCCACGCCGUAAAACCCCCGACUUUCUGAACGUUGACCUCGGAUCAGGUAGGAAUACCCGCUGAACUUAAGCAUAUCAAUAAGCGGAGGA